UACAGAGGUCUCAAGCGUUGUUCGGAUUCAUUGGGCGUAAAGGGUGCGUAGGUGGCGCCGUAAGUCAGGUGUGAAAUUUCGGAGCUUAACUCCGAAACUGCAUUUGAUACUGCGGUGCUUGAGGACUGGAGAGGAGACUGGAAUUCCUGGUGUAGCGGUGAAAUGCGCAGAUAUCAGGAGGAACACCGGUGGCGAAGGCGGGUCUCUGGGACGGUACUGACGCUGAGACGCGAAAGCGUGGGGAGCGAACAGG
rnacentral:rRNA from 1 species